CCGCGAGACUUCAGCCACUCCAGAUCUCUCCGAUGAGAAGUCGUGUAGUCAGUGAACACGACAGACUUUGUAACAAUGACUAUAACCAUACAGUUGAACUUGCCUGAUAAUGUGACGUCCUCCAGAGAUGACCCGCCUUAAAUAGGUUUCUAUCUGGAGAUGUUGCUGAAGACGUACGUUUGAGAAGGGCUGUGGAGAGGAUCCAUAUGUAAGAAGUGGUGUACCACAACAACAACAAAAAAAGGUUCAGGCGCAUCAGUUGCAAGAGCUCAAUUUUUAAGGCCACUCUGGGCUCUUGAGGACACUCGUGUAUGGAGCUAGCAAACAAGCUGACACAAGAGCAGUUUGAAGGAACCAGGAGAUGUGAUGCUUAAUAAAAAUUGAGAGCAAAAUGUUUGAAUGAGCCAAACCACACGUAUUGAAAAACUUUAUUUAAAAACUGUACAGAUAUAAUACAAAUCCAAAGAUGCAAACGGAUCAGCAGGUUUUACUGUCUGUGUUGAACUUGUAGGAUUUCUUCUUUAGAUUUUCUAGAAAAAUUUGCUCCUCAAGGAGGAAUUCACGAUCCUGGGGGAGAAAAACGAGAAAAUGUGAAGCUCUUGGUUUCUCAAAAUGUAUAAGGAACGCUUACUAGUAAGAAAAUGACUUGAGGUGUUUUUGUUUUUUUUUUAAACCAAUUUUCAGAAAAUAAAAUCUUUAAUGGAACAAA